AAAGGCAAGAAGAUUGCCACAAGUCACAAAGCAGCCUAGACUACUUUCUCUGUGCCAGGGUAUCCUGGGCUACAAAAACAGAAGUGGGGCUGAGGUCUUAAGCUCUGGGCCUUGUCAGAAGGCACUGUCCUGUUAUGUCCUCCCCUCCCUAGGCCGCAUCGACUGUCAGCGUCACUGUGGUAAGUGAACUAUGGUCCAGGCUGAGGGCCACAGGGGCAGUGGCCCAGGCUGGGGAAGCCCAGGGGAGCCUGGGGCUGCCUCUCAUGUAUUGCAGGCAUCUUCCAAUAUGAGACCAUCUCCUGCAGCAACUGCACAGACUCACAUGUUGUCUGCUUCGGCUACUACUGCAAGUCAUCACCACAGUGGGAGUCAGCUGUACAGGGCCUUCUGAAAUACAUAAACACCUGGCACAAGUAAGUUCCUGCUGGAAUCCAAGUGCGUGGGUACACCUUAUGGUGAGGGCUCGAAGCUGGCAGAGGCCCAGGAGGACCUUGCCCACACCCUUCAAGGCUCUCCAAGCUCAGCUGGAGGAAGGGAGCAAACCAUCCUGGCUGAAGGGGCUUCAUGAAACCUAGGCUACCCUGAGUUGGUGGCAGAGUUGGAGGGUCUAACUGGAGCCCCAUUCUAUUUCAGACAGGAUGUAAAGAUGAG
rnacentral:lncRNA from 1 species